rnacentral:rRNA from 1 species
AAGAUAAAUUUAUGGGCAAAUGGUGGAUGCCUUGGGAGCAGGAGGCGAUGAAGGACGUGGGGUGCCUGCGAUAAGCCUCGGGGAGGUGGCUACCAACCUGUGAUCCGGGGAUUUCCGAAUGGGGAAACCCAACGUAGCUUUAAACUACGUUAUCGCGUUUAAAGCGCGAGGCAAACCCGGGGAAGUAAAACAUUUCAGUACCCGGAGGAAAAGAAAACAAUCUUGUGCUUUGCACAAGACCAUUCCCCCAGUAGCGGCGAGCGAAAAGGGAAGAGCUCAAACCUUGUGCGUAGCACAAGGAAAUUCUAAUCUCUAAAUCUAAACCCCAAACAAUUUCCAAAAUUAAAAUGUUUUCAAUUCAAAAUGACUCAGUUUGUCUUUUUUGGAUUUUGAGUUUUGGUUAUUUGGAUUUGUUUAGGAUUUCGGAUUUCGGAUUUAGGAUUUUCGCGUGCUACGCGCAGGGGGUUGUAGGACACUAACGGAACCUGGUUCGGAAAGUCAAAAAUUUUAUUGGUUAGUUGAAUGUUCCUGGAAAGGCCAGCCAUAGAGGGUGAUAGCCCCGUAAACAAAAACCAAUAAAACUUUCUGGUUAGUGUUCCUGAGUACCGUGGGACAUGAGAAUCCUGCGGGAAGCAGGCUGAACUGUCAGCCAAAGCUAAAUACUACCUGCUCACCGAUAGUGAACCAGUACCGUGAGGGAAAGGUGAAAAGUAGCCCGGUGAGGGCGGUGAAAUAGAACCUGAAACCAUUUUGCCCACAAAGAGUCAACGCCUUGUGCUCCGCACAAGGAAAUUCUAAUUCUUAAAUUCUUAACCUAAAAAAAAUUCUAAUUUUUAAAUUUUCAAAAUUCAAAACUAUUUUGUGUUUUAUUUUUUUAGAUUUAUUAUUUUAAAUUUGUUGUGGGUUGAGAACUUCUCAUUGAGGAUUUUCUUGUGCGGAGCGCGAGGUUAUGGCGUGCUUUUUGCAGAACGAGCCAACGAGUCUGAAUAUACGGCUUGUCUAAACCCCUUUGGGGUGGAGGCAAAGCGAAAGCGAGUAUGAAUAGUGCAUUUUUGGCUGUAUAUUCAGGACCCGAAGCCAGGCGAGCUUGCCAUGGUCAGGGUGAACCCCGUAGAAAUACUGGGGGGAAGCCCGAACCAGUUAGCCGUGCAACACUAUUGGAUGAACUGUGGCAAGAAGUGAAAAGCUAAUCGAGCUUGGUAAUAGCUGGUUCUCCCCGAAAUAGCUUUAGGGCUAGCCUGAACAUCCGAACUUAUGGGGGUAGAGCACUGAAUGGUUCGUCGUGGGUUUUCCCAGACGAUCCAAUCAAACUCCGAAUACCAUAAGCUCAGUUCAGAGUCAGAACAUGGGGGCUAAGCUCCAUGCUCAAAAGGGAAACAGCCCAGACCGCCAUCUAAGGCCCCUAAAUCUAAGCUAAGUGUGAUAAGGAAGUGGAUUUUCAUUGAUAGUUAGAAGGUUAGCUUAGAGGCAGCUAUCCUUUAAAAAGUGCGUAACAGCUUACUACCUGAGAAAAUCCGCGCCGAAGAUUCAGGGGGCUCAAGCUUAGUGCCGAAGAUGCGGCUGCCACUGCUUUGCACUGGAAAUUCGAAGCACGAAUAUCUAAAUUCUAAACAACACUAAAAUUCUCAUUUUUCAAAAUCCAAAACAAGAAAUUAUUAUUGUCUGUUGGAAUUUAUUGUUUUGGGUUUGUUUGGGAUUUAGGAUUUCGGGUUUGGAGUUUCCACUGCGAAGCAGUGGCGGGGUAGGGGAGCGUCCUUAUUGCUGAGAAGCUUUGUCGUAAGGCAGAGUGGAGCGAUAAGGAGUGAGAAUGUUGGCAUGAGUAACCGCAAGGAAGGUGAAAGCCCUUCCCGCCGAAAGCCUAAGGUUUCCUUGGCAAUGACAAUCAACCAAGGGUUAGGCGGUCCUAAGCCGUCCGCCGAAAGGUGUACGAGCGAUGGGUAGACGGUGAAUAUUCCGUCCCUUCUUCAAAUCUUUUUUCGGAAUGACGAACAGUAGUAGCCGGGGCGCAUAAUUGGAUUUGCGUUGGCAACAUAAGAGGCAACUCAAGUGUUGUCAAAAUUACUCUCUUUGAGGGUAAAAUUCCGGUAAGCACUGUUCCCAGAAAAGUUCCGAAAAUUAAAAAUUUGGAGAAUCCGUACCGAAAACCGACACAGGUGGGCUGGUGCAAGAAUACCAAGGCGAACGAGUGAAACUUCGUUAAGGAACUAGGCAAAACAACUAGGCGUAAGUUCGCGAGAUGCCUUGCCGUCUUUAUGGCGGCCGCAGUUAAAGAUCCCAGGCGACUGUUUACCAAAAACACAGGUCCCUGCUAAACUCGUAAGAGGAUGUAUAGGGGCUGAGGCCUGACCAGUGCCCGUGUGUUAAAGUUGCCGGUUGCUUCGCUUUCGCUUCACAACCGGCUCAAUGAAAAAAUUUAAAUUGUAGUAAUUAUUCCGUAAAAAUUUUGAAAAGAAAUUUUUACCCCAUAAUUUUUGAUUUUUAAUUUGAGCGAAGAUGCGGAGCGUAAGCGGAGCAGCUGAGCGAUCUAAGCCACGGGUGAACGUCCGCGGUAACUCUGACCGUGUUAAAGUAGCGUAAUCCCUUGCCGGGUAAGUUCCGGCCCGCAUGAAAGGUUUAACGAUCUGGGAACUGUCUCAACGAAGCGCUCGGUGAAAAUGCAGUAUCCGUGAAGAUGCGGAAUUCCUGCGGCUAGACGAAAAGACCCCGGGAGCUUUACUACAGUUAGGUAUUGGGCUUUGGUUUUAAAUGCGUAGCGUAGGUGGGAGGAGAUGAGGUCUCGCUUGCGGGCGAGGCUGAUCCGCCAAUGAAACACCACCCUUUUAAAAUCUUUGUCCUAAUCUCUUGCCAAAGAGAGACAGUGCUUAACGGGUAGUUUAAGUGGGGCGCUUGCCUCCUAAAAGGUAACGGAGGCGUUUAAAGGUUGGCUAAGGCCGGAUGGAAAUCGGCCUGAUAGGGCAAAGCCAUAAGCCAGCUUUACUGCGAGACUUACCAGUCAAGCAGUUGCGAAAGCAGAACUUAGUGAACCGACCCUUAUUCACAGGAAUAGGGAAGAUAAUCGGCCAAAAGUUACCCCGGGGAUAACAGGCUGGUAGGGCCCGAGAGUUCACAUCGACGGCCCUGUUCGGCACCUCGAUGUCGGCUCACCUUAUCCUGGAGGUGGAGAAGCUUCCAAGGGUGGGGCUGUUCGCCCAUUAAAAAGGUACGUGAGCUGGGUUCAGUACGUCGCGAGACAGUACGGUCUCUUUCUACCGCAGGCGCCGAGUCUUGAGGGGAGUUCCGGGUAGUACGAGAGGACCCCCGGGAGCCAAUCUCUGGUGUGCCAGUUGUUCCGCCAGGAGCAUGGCUGGGUAGCUAAGUUGGUUUAGGAUAAGCGCUGAAAGCAUCUAAGCGCGAAGCCGACCCCAAGAUUAGGACUCAUUGAGAUCGGUUGCAGACUACAACCUUGAUAGGCCUUAAGUGUAAGCUCCGUAAGGAGUUCAGCUGAGAGGUACUAAUAGAUCAAUUAUCUUC